rnacentral:rRNA from 1 species
GAUGAACGCUGGCGGCGUGCCUAAUACAUGCAAGUCGAGCGAACGGACGAGAAGCUUGCUUUUCUGAUGUUAGCGGCGGACGGGUGAGUAACACGUGGAUAACCUACCUAUAAGACUGGGAUAACUUCGGGAAACCGGAGCUAAUACCGGAUAAUAUUUUGAACCGCAUGGUUCAAAAGUGAAAGACGGUCUUGCUGUCACUUAUAGAUGGAUCCGCGCUGCAUUAGCUAGUUGGUAAGGUAACGGCUUACCAAGGCAACGAUGCAUAGCCGACCUGAGAGGGGGAUCGGCCACACUGGAACUGAGACACGGUCCAGACUCCUACGGGAGGCAGCAGUAGGGAAUCUUCCGCAAUGGGCGAAAGCCUGACGGAGCAACGCCGCGUGAGUGAGGAAGGUCUUCGGAUCGUAAAACUCUGUUAUUAGGGAAAAACAUAUGUGUAAGUAACUGUGCACAUCUGGACGGUACCAAAUCAGAAGACCACGGCUAACUACGG